rnacentral:rRNA from 1 species
GACGAACGCUGGCGGCGUGCUUAACACAUGCAAGUCGUACGGUAAGGCCCUUUCGGGGGUACACGAGUGGCGCACGGGUGAGUAACACGUGAGUAACCUGCUCACAACUUUGGGAUAACGCUAGGAAACUGGUGCUAAUACUGGAUAUGUGCUCCUGCUGCAUGGUGGGGGUUGGAAAGCUCCGGCGGUUGUGGAUGGACUCGCGGCCUAUCAGCUUGUUGGUGGGGUAGUGGCCUACCAAGGCGGCGACGGGUAGCCGGCCUGAGAGGGUGACCGGCCACAUUGGGACUGAGAUACGGCCCAGACUCCUACGGGAGGCAGCAGUGGGGAAUAUUGCACAAUGGGCGCAAGCCUGAUGUAGCAACGCCGCGUGCGGGAUGACGGCCUUCGGGUUGUAAACCGCUUUCAGCAGGGACGAAGCUUUUUGUGACGGUACCUGCAGAAGAAGCACCGGCUAACUACGUG